rnacentral:rRNA from 1 species
UACGUAGGAGGCGAGCGUUGUCCGGAAUUACUGGGCGUAAAGAGCGCGUAGGCGGCGCGGUACGACCGCUGUGAAAGCCCCCAGCUCGACUGGGGAGGGUCAGCGGUAACGGCCGUGCUUUGAGUGCAGGAGAGGGAAGUGGAACUCCGGGAGUAGCGGUGAAAUGCGUAGAGACCCGGAGGAACACCAGUGGCGAAGGCGGCUUCCUGGUCUGCGACUGACGCUGUGGCGCGAAAGCUAGGGGAGCAAACGGG